GUUGUUUGGUAGAUUCCCAAUUUAGGAAUGGGGUCCCCCAAUCACAAUAUUCCCAAUCGUGUCUCACUAGGUAACUAUAAUAGUAAACCAGGUAAAUUAAAGAUUGAUUUUGAUGAUUUACUUGUUGAAGGCCUCCAGAAAGACUGGAGCAAGAAGGUCUAAUGACAAAAGAAUAAAGACAAGCGUCGAGAGAAACAGAAGAGGAGAUCAACCGACGGACCAGCAGAAAAUAGUUUCUAAGAUAAGAAGAAUAAUUCGACUGGUGCAAAGACAAGAAGGCAUGAAUAAGAAGAUAAUAAAAAUGAUGAUAGAAAUAAUUAAUUGUAUUGAGUUGGUUAAUGUUGAUUUAGAGUUACAGUCUCUGGCAAAUGGUAUCGAGGCCUUGAGAUUGCAAACCUCUGUUGCAAGACCAGAAAACCCUUAAAAGGUAACAAUGAGAUAUAUGAUUUGUUAGACAUCAACUCUAAAGGGCAGUAAUAAGAAAUGUAUGAUGUUAACAUUUGCUCAACAGUUGAGACUGUCACGUACGCCAGUUGAGACUGUCAUGUAUGCUUGCUUUUUGCUAAGAUAACAAUGAGUGUGCAAGGAAAUGCAUCUUGCAAUCUGGAUUGCAGGAUGGACUUUCUUUCUAAAAAAUUGUAUUGUAAUGUGUUUGAUCUGAUUAACACAGGGAGGAGGAGGAUGCUGUGCAGUUUAGCAAUAGUUACUUACUUACCCUACGCCUUAAGAUUUUGUAACAACUUGAAGACUCAACUGAGCUGAUCUGGUUCUGGUGGGAAGAAGUGCAGAACUCUCCAUCGCCACAGAGAAGACAUCAAAGUAUGCGACGAGUGGGGCAGGGCCAAGAGGCGAUUGGAAAUGAGCAACACCUGCUCAACCCACCGGUCUUAUGUCCCAUGGAGGAGAUCGGAAGGAUACAAAAGAGGAGCAACGACAGUGAAGGACAAGAGAGGACCAGGCCUUGAUUUUAGUUGUGUUUGGUUUUUGUUUGUCCGCGAGGGGCUGCAGCGCUGUUUUGUCUUUAUUUUAUUAUUAAAGUCAUUUGAUUGUCCACCGGUUCCGACCUCCUUCCUCCUUCCGAGGUGGGAACAAGUAUUUACAAAUAUUUAAAAUAAAUCCAUAGCUUU